rnacentral:rRNA from 1 species
AUGGCUGGGAGGAAAAUCAUCAUUAACAAAGGAGAUUUGGCUAGGGUUUGGCACGACCCAUGGAUAGAUAACUGCCCAUUACGAGAGUGUUUCCCUGUCUUAUAUGACAUUUGUCAAAAUCAAGAUUGCACCAUUACUUCUUUUGUAGCCAACAACUACGAUCUAGUUUUUAGACGCAGGUUGUUUGGUGCAUUGGAGGAGCAAUGGGACUGGGUGGUGUGCGAGGCUAAAAAAAAGUCUUUGAAUGAGAAUUCUGAUAUUGUCUCCUGGUCCUUGAAUAGUGGGGGGAAAUUCACCACUAAAUUUGUAUAUGAGUGGCUGGAGAGAAACUUAUCUGGACCUAACUAUAAAAAGGUGUGGAAAGCUGCAAUUCCCUUGAAAAUAAAUUUUUUCCUGUGGCAGCUAUUCCAAAAUGUUGUGCUUACACGCGAUAACAUGCGACAUAGGAAUUGGCCGGGAAAUCCUAUGUGCUCGUUUUGCACGGAGGUGGAAACUUCUAAUCAUCUAUUCUUCACUUGUUCACUCGCCCGUACGGUCUGGGGCGUGCUGGGGCUGACUGCGGGGGUCUCUUGUGCCCCCAGGUCUAUUUGGCAGUGCUUUGCUUGGCUGUAUAAGUUUUUCUCAAGGGGGAAGAAAUUUUAUAUGAUGAUUAUUGCAGCCGUGUGUUGGGCGAUUUGGUGCCUCCGCAGCAAAACUACUUUUGACAAGUAUAAUGCUCGUACUCCUUUGGAGGCUAUCUUCAUUGCCUGUUCUUUUAUGUUAUACUGGGCAGGGCUGCUUAAGGAGGAAGACCAGACGAGAUUCCAAGUGGGGGUGAAGAGGCUGGCUAAUGUGGCGGCUGCCCUGGCGGACAGAUCAUAUGCUCGCGGCAGGCUGCUCUUGGGAGGUGGGGAUGGUAUUCAGAUUGGGGAGCUGUCUUAA